GUGACCAACCCGCAGCGCUGCCUGCAGCUGUGCGGGGCGCAGCCUGCCUGCGUCGCCUUCAACUUCAACGACGUGACCAGGGAGUGCGAGCUCGUGGCUGCGGUAGCCGGCAGCGCGGUGGUGCCGGGCUGGCGCUGCUACAGGAUGCUGAUGCCGCCGCCCGCCCGGAUUAUGGACCCAUGCGCCAGCAGCCCCUGUCCUGCU